rnacentral:rRNA from 1 species
UACGGAGGGUGCAAGCGUUAUCCGGAUUCACUGGGUUUAAAGGGUGCGUAGGUGGGCAGGUAAGUCAGCGGUGAAAUCCCCGAGCUUAACUUGGGAACUGCCAUUGAUACUAUCUGUCUUGAAUACCUUGGAGGUGAGCGGAAUAUGUCAUGUAGCGGUGAAAUGCUUAGAUAUGACAUAGAACACCAAUUGCGAAGGCAGCUCACUACACGGUCAUUGACACUGAGGCACGAAAGCGUGGGAUCAAACAGGG